rnacentral:rRNA from 1 species
UACGAAGGGGGCUAGCGUUGCUCGGAAUCACUGGGCGUAAAGCGCACGUAGGCGGCUUUUUAAGUCAGAGGUGAAAUCCUGGAGCUCAACUCCAGAACUGCCUUUGAUACUGGAGAGCUUGAGUCCGGGAGAGGUGAGUGGAACUGCGAGUGUAGAGGUGAAAUUCGUAGAUAUUCGCAAGAACACCAGCGGCGAAGGCGGCUCACUGGCCCGGUACUGACGCUGAGGUGCGAAAGCGUGGGGAGCAAACAGG